rnacentral:rRNA from 1 species
AUUGAACGCUGGCGGCAUGCCUUACACAUGCAAGUCGAACGGCAGCACGGGAGCAAUCCUGGUGGCGAGUGGCGAACGGGUGAGUAAUAUAUCGGAACGUGCCCAGUCGUGGGGAUAACGUAGCGAAAGCUACGCUAAUACCGCAUACGAUCUAUGGAUGAAAGCGGGGGAUCGCAAGACCUCGCGCGAUUGGAGCGGCCGAUAUCAGAUUAGGUAGUUGGUGAGGUAAAGGCUCACCAAGCCGACGAUCUGUAGCUGGUCUGAGAGGACGACCAGCCACACUGGGACUGAGACACGGCCCAGACUCCUACGGGAGGCAGCAGUGGGGAAUUUUGGACAAUGGACGCAAGUCUGAUCCAGCCAUUCCGCGUGUAGGAUGAAGGCCCUCGGGUUGUAAACUGCUUUUGUACGGAACGAAAGGUUUCUAUUAAUACUAAGAGCUCAUGACGGUACCGUAAGAAUAAGCACCGGCUAACUACGUGCCAG